UACGGGGGGGGCAAGCGUUGUUCGGAUUUACUGGGCGUAAAGGGUGCGUAGGCGGCGGAGUAAGUUGGGUGUGAAAUCCCGGGGCUCAACCUCGGAAUUGCAUUCAAUACUGCUUCGCUCGAGUACUGGAGAGGAGGCUGGAAUUUACGGUGUAGCAGUGAAAUGCGUAGAUAUCGUAAGGAAGGCCGGUGGCGAAAGCGAGCCUCUGGACAGUUACUGACGCUGAUGCACGAAGGCCAGGGGAGCAAACGGG
rnacentral:rRNA from 1 species